GAGGUUCUGAUUUCCUUCUCUCCUGCAGUGCUUUUUCCUCUACACAGCUUUUAAGCCCAGCUCUCAUUCUUUCCUUCUCUACCUGAAAGGCCCUAAUUCAUAGGCCACUACAUUCUUGUCUGAAUGACUGCCCCAGUGGUCUCCAUACUUCCACCGCUUGCCACCAUGGGCCAUUCUACUCUCAGAAGCCAGGGCAGGAUUAAAAAUGCAGACAUGAUAGUGUCUUCCCAGUGUUAAACUGCAAGGACUUUACAUUGCCGUCAGCACAGCCUGCAAGGCCUUGGGUGACCUUGGCUGAACUAAAAAGAACCAUCUUCUAUUCUCUGCAUACCUAUCUUCCUUCCAUAAUAUCAUCUCCCACACCCCUUUCUCUCCAGCCACACUGGCAUUUGGACAUUUCUUCAGAAGCCAGUUCCCACCACAGGGCCUUUGUACCAGCAGCCUCCUCCCUGAGCCUGGAGACCAGUCAUGUGCCCUGACAGCCUGCAGCAUUUACCACAAGCCUUUGUAAGCUCGGUCUCCUCCACCAGGGCCUCCACUGCUCUACUCUGCAAUGAAGAGGAGUUCCAUGACUUGCAUUUCCCUGGGGCUUCUAAUAGAACAUUGCAUGUGCAUAGGAUUGUGCCUAUACCUACAGCCCUGCAUCUGGCCAAGGUGCUUAGGUCAUAGAAUCACAGGUGGCUCCAAGGCUUCUGUUCUCCCAGCUGGAGCAACU